GAAAGUUAGAUGCCGGUCGCCAUAUAAAGUCCGAUUCGGUUGACAGUUUUAUGUGUGGAUUAAUUGUUGGAGUAGAGGACCUUGUGCAUUUCAGAAUUUGGCAGUACGUCCAACCAGCCUCACAACCACAGACCACGUGUAACCACGCUAGCCCAGGACCUCCACAUCCGGCUUCGUCACCUGGGUGAUUGUCUGAGACCAGCCACCUGGACAGCUGAUGAAACUGUGGGUUUGCACAAAUCUCGGCACAAACUGUACCGGGAUGAUGGCAGACAGCGUGUUUGGCAUUGUGUGGACUUGCUGCGCUGUGCCAUCCCCACGGCUUCCACAAAGGAUCAGUCCACUCAGACAGGCGCAAAUCAGACAGGUGUCUUCUUUUUUUUUUGCUACUGCUCGACUAAAAGAAGUCUCAGUCGACCAACAGCCUAUCGACUGUUUCAAACAAUCAACCAAUCGACUAUAUGGGGUCAGCACUACAACGAACACAAUUGGAUUUUAUCGAUGGCAAUUUGAAUGCAUAGAGAUACCAUGAUGAGAUCAUGAGGCCCAUUGUCAUGCCAUUCCUCCGCCACCAUCACUGCAUGUUUCAGCAUGAUAAUGCACAGCCCCAUGUUGCAAUGAUCUGUACACAAUUCCUGGAAGAUGAAAAUGGCCCAGUUCUUCCACGGCCUGAAAACUCAUUGAGCAUGUUUGGGAUGCUCUGGGUCGGUGUAUGACAGCGUUUUCCAGUUUCCGUCAAUAUCCGCCAACUCCGCACAGCCAUUGAAGAGGUCUGGGACAAUAUUCCACAGGCCACAAUCAACAGGUUGAUCAACACUACGCAAAGGAUAUGUGUCGCGCUGCAUGAGGCAAAUCGUGGAUACACCAGAUAAGGGCUGGUUUUCUGAUCCACGCCACUACUUUCUUUUUAAGGUAUCUGUGACCAACAGAUGUAUGUCUGUAUUCCCUGGCAUGUGAAAUCCAUAAAUUGGGGUCUAUCAAUUGACUGAUUUUCUUAAAUGAACUGUAACUCUUUGAAAUUGUUGCAUGUUGUGUUUCUUUUUUGUUCAGUGUAUUUUGUUUAACAUUGGCUCAAACUUCAGAGGCUUAACAUAUUUCUAUGAGAAAAUAAAUUGAAAGGUGUACACAACACAGUUUGACGAUACUGAUGGACUCCACAUUAGACUAUCAUAAACAUAGGAGCCCCUGACAAUGAGCAUCCUGUUGCAGGCUUAUCUGGGGGACAACCUGCUGCCUAUCUUUCUACAUAGAAUGAUUGCAUGCAGAGCAUGAACAGUGUGUAGGCACGCAUCCCUGGUAGCACUUUUAUACUUUUUAUUUUUUCAAGCAAGUUCCCAUAGUUCAGAGAGAGAGAGAGCAUAACCUCAGAGUACCACUCAUUUCCCUCCUUCCUGAAACUGAGAAAUAAGGUUGUCACUAAAAGUUCACCAACUAUGCUGAUACUGAGCCAUUGAGAGGAUAAAAUUAAUUCUAAAAUGUCAAAUGAGGCAAGAAACAACUCAAAACCAGGGAGCGAUGAAAAGGUACAACAGACGGUUAUCGGUGUCGUGAUAGAGCAAGAGACAGAACAGACACAGUGCAGACCACUGCUUUGAAGAACGGUAGUGCUGAUUUCCCCGAUCAACAGGAUAACUAACACACACAGAGUGUAAUCUACGUGAGCAAGGCAAUAUGCUGAA